GACAUAGGUGGCGAACGUUAUCCGGAAUUAUUGGGCGUAAAGAGCUCGUAGGCGGCUUGUCGCGUCGACCGUGAAAACUUGGGGCUCAACCCCAAGCCUGCGGUCGAUACGGGCAGGCUCGAGUUCGGUAGGGGAGACUGGAAUUCCUGGUGUAGCGGUGAAAUGCGCAGAUAUCAGGAGGAACACCGGUGGCGAAGGCGGGUCUCUGGGCCGAUACUGACGCUGAGGAGCGAAAGCGUGGGGAGCGAACAGG
rnacentral:rRNA from 1 species